rnacentral:rRNA from 1 species
UACGUAGGGGGGCAAGCGUUUGUCCGGAAUCAUUGGGCGUAAAGCGCGCGUAGGCGGCCCGGUAAGUCCGUUGUGAAAGUCAAAGGCUCAACCUUUGAACGCCGAUGGAUACUGCCGGGCUAGAGUCCGGAAGAGGCGAGUGGAAUUCCUGGUGUAGCGGUGGAAUGCGCAGAUAUCAGGAGGAACACCAAUAGCGAAGGCAGCUCGCUGGGACGGUACUGACGCUGAGGCGCGAAAGCGUGGGGAGCGAACAGG